rnacentral:rRNA from 1 species
GACGGAGGGUGCGAGCGUUAUUCGGAAUCAUUGGGCGUAAAGAGCGUGUAGGCGGCCGGUUAAGUCAGGAGUGAAAGCCCGGGGCUCAACCUCGGAAGUGCACUUGAAACUGGUCGGCUUGAGUUCGGGAGAGGGAAGCGGAAUUCCUGGUGUAGAGGUGAAAUUCGUAGAUAUCAGGAGGAACACCGGUGGCGAAGGCGGCUUCCUGGACCGAAAGUGACGAUGAGACGGGAAAGCGUUGGGAGCAAACAGG